CCAGAGAUGGAAGGAAUGCUUUUAUUAGAUCAAAACCAAUCGGUAGCGGGCUUGCCUUGCAUACCGUUUGAUUUGGUGACUCUGAAUAACUUUGGGCUGAUCGUACGGUCUCGUACCGACGACGCAUCUUUCAAAUGUCUGCCUUAUCAACUGUCGAUGGUAGUUUCUGCGACUACCAUGGUCGUUACGGGUAACGGGGAAUCAGGGUUCGAUUCCGGAGAGGGAGCCUGAGAAACGGCUACCACAUCCAAGGAAGGCAGCAGGCGCGCAAAUUACCCACUCUCGGCACGAGGAGGUAGUGACGAAAAAUAACGAUACGGGACUCAUCCGAGGCCCCGUAAUCGGAAUGAGUACACUUUAAAUCCUUUAACGAGGAUCAAUUGGAGGGCAAGUCUGGUGCCAGCAGCCGCGGUAAUUCCAGCUCCAAUAGCGUAUAUUAAAGUUGUUGCGGUUAAAAAGCUCGUAGUUGAAUUUGUGUCCCAUACUGUCGGUUCACCGCUCGCGGUGUUUAACUGGCAUGAUAUGGGACGUCCUAUCGGUGGGUUCGCCCGUAAAAAGGCAACCCAACUCAAAAUCUCAUCACGGUGCUCUUAAACGAGUGUCGAGGUGGGCCGAUACGUUUACUUUGAACAAAUUAGAGUGCUUAAAGCAGGCUAAAUUUUGCCUAAAUAUUGUGUGCAUGGAAUAAUAGAAUAGGACCUCGUUUCUAUUUUGUUGGUUUUCGGAAUUCCGAGGUAAUGAUUAAUAGGGACAACUGGGGGCAUUCGUAUUGCGACGUUAGAGGUGAAAUUCUUGGAUCGUCGCAAGACGGACAGAAGCGAAAGCAUUUGCCAAAUGUGUUUUCAUCAAUCAAGAACGAAAGUUAGAGGUUCGAAGGCGAUCAGAUACCGCCCUAGUUCUAACCAUAAACGAUGCCAGCUAGCGAUCCGCCAAAGUUCCUCCGAUGACUUGGCGGGCAGCUUCCGGGAAACCAAAGCUUUUGGGUUCCGGGGGAAGUAUGGUUGCAAAGCUGAAACUUAAAGGAAUUGACGGAAGGGCACCACCAGGAGUGGAGCCUGCGG
rnacentral:rRNA from 1 species